GGUGGUUUAUUAAUCUCUGUUGACUCCUUAGACUUAUCUGGAUCCUUAAACUCGGUCUGAUCGGUUACUUGCUCAUGAGGUGGUUUAGACAAUGGGUCAUCUUGAUCUUUAGGUAUACCGACAUAGUUGUCUACUUAUUUUCUAGAUCUUAAAGUAUGAAUUACGUUUAAUUGAUUGAUUUGGGCUCCUUGUUGUGGUCCUUG
rnacentral:lncRNA from 1 species